AGAGUUUGAUCCUGGCUCAGAACAAACGCUGGCGGCGUGCCUAACACAUGCAAGUCGUACGAGAAAGGGUCCUUCGGGACCUGAGUAAAGUGGCGCACGGGUGAGUAACGCGUGGAUAAUCUGCCCCUCAGUUGGGAAUAACUCAUCGAAAGGUGGGCUAAUACCGAAUAAUACUGCGAGACUUUGGUUGAGCAGUCAAAGAGAGCCUCUGCUUGCAUGCCCUCGCUGAAGGAUGAGUCCGCGUACCAUUAGCUAGUUGGCAGGGUAAUGGCCUACCAAGGCGACGAUGGUUAGCUGGUCUGAGAGGAUGAUCGGCCACACUGGAACUGAGAUACGGUCCAGACUCCUACGGGAGGCAGCAGUGAGGAAUCUUGCGCAAUGGGGGAAACCCUGACGCAGCAACGCCGCGUGAGUGAGGAAGGUCUUCGGAUCGUAAAGCUCUGUCAGUUGGGAAGAAAUGCCUGUUGGUUAAUACCCUUCAGGCUGACGUACCAACAGAGAG
rnacentral:rRNA from 1 species